UUGUCGUGUUUAGCCCGCCCUGCUCGUCGUGCUCUUCUUGUCAUUCCUUUGAUUUUGGAUUUCUGUUUGGAUCACCUUGUUUUUGGACUCUGUUAAUCGACCACUCUGCCAUUAAGUGUGCUCGCCUUUUGUUUGUUGGUUUAAUAAGUCUCCUGAACUGAACCUGCCAGCCGCGUGUCCUGCACCUUCUCCACACCACAAACCCUGACAACAGUCCUGUAUAGUGUUAUACCAACAGGUUUUCCUUUUGAUUUGCCCAUAACAUUUAUAUCAAUGAAGCUGGCUUAAGAGAAAAGAGAUCAGCGGGACGACGAUCAAGCAGACUUUCCAUGACUCUUCAUGAUGAGACGAGCGUUUCCUGCCGGGGUCAGAGCAGCGACCAGACGAGACAGCUUCCACGCAUGUCAUGAAUGUUUGUGCUCACGACAUCGAAGCUGGUCUCCGGCCAAAGUAAAGAUCUUUCCGUGUUGAUCUGAAUUCCGUCUAACAAGAUUUCAUGCCGGCUGUUACUUCAGUGUCAGACUGAUGCGACCCUCCUGCUCCUGCUCCUUCCACUUCCACAUCACAUUCAUCCAGAUCUUCAGCCAUUGCUCUUCAGCCCUUCACCCCCCACACCAGUGUCUGGACUCCAUUGGGGUGGAUCUUCCUGCACAGCUCACGGCAUUAAAAUAAUGAAGCCACGAUGGGGUCUAAUUGCCAGACUCUUCUCAUAUUUCUUCAACUUUCCUCUUAAUUUAAUUACUCUUAAGCUUCUUUUUCAAUUAAAGUCUCUCCUGAUUGAAAUAUCUUUGUUCUUCUGCUCCAACAGCUGCAGCCUGUAGA